rnacentral:misc_RNA from 1 species
AAUCUUCAAAACCCCUUUUUCUUUGAUCCAUUUCGAUCUGAAAAAGGAAUUUUGGACUUGGAGGUUCAAUGCUUGCCUUUUGAUCUAUUGAAAGCAAGCUCCUCUCAAAUAAAUUAGUGGGGUCUGCUUUGCUGGUCCUUGACGUGAUAAGAUGUUUCUACGUUUUGGAUUUGGCACUGUCUCUUGGAUGCCUGCUUCUAAUGGUCUAGUGGACAACGAUGGUGCUCCGGUCCCUGCCACCUACGUUGGCGGGAGGCUUGGCCCACACAAAAAA